rnacentral:rRNA from 1 species
AUGGCUCCCAAAAACUCAGCUGUCUUCCUCCUUGGGCUUCUUCUCUCAUGCGUAGCCAUGAGUGGUGUGGCGAGAAUCCUUGAGGAGACCGUUCCGUCCAAGGAAGAGCACCAGAAUGAGGUGCCACAUAUUCCCAAGGUAGAGCUUCCACUGUUCCCGGAGGUACACCUGCCACCUAAGCCUGAGCUUCCCAAGGUGGAGCUGCCGCCGGUCCCGGAGGUGCACCUGGCACCUAAGCCUGAGCUUCCCAAGGUGGAGCUGCCGCCGGUCCCUGAGGUGCACUUGCCACCCAAGCCGGAGCUGCCCAAGGUGGAGCUUCCACCAAAGCCCGAGAUGCCCACUGUUCCCAUGUUCCACUUCCCAAAGCCGGAGGCCAAGCCAUGA